AGCUUUGUGCAGUGGCAGUAUUGUAGCCAAUGAAUUUAUCAGAGGCAUGAUUAUUGCUAAUUAAAAAUUGCUCAACUAUGUAUUUGCAUCCCAGUUCUACACCCAAUAAAUAACUAUUGCAAUAGUUAUUUAAUG
rnacentral:snRNA from 1 species